GUGGACAUAGUUUACCCAAAACUCUAGAUUGUGAAUCUAGCAACAGAACAUAAAAAUUCUUGUUCACC
ensembl:Mt_tRNA